CUGGCUCAGAUUGAACGCUGGCGGCAGGCCUAACACAUGCAAGUCGAGCGGUAGCACAGGAGAGCUUGCUCUCCGGGUGACGAGCGGCGGACGGGUGAGUAAUGUCUGGGAAACUGCCUGAUGGAGGGGGAUAACUACUGGAAACGGUAGCUAAUACCGCAUAACGUCUUCGGACCAAAGUGGGGGACCUUCGGGCCUCACGCCAUCAGAUGUGCCCAGAUGGGAUUAGCUAGUAGGUGGGGUAAUGGCUCACCUAGGCGACGAUCCCUAGCUGGUUUGAGAGGAUGACCAGCCACACUGGAACUGAGACACGGUCCAGACUCCUACGGGAGGCAGCAGUGGGGAAUAUUGCACAAUGGGCGCAAGCCUGAUGCAGCCAUGCCGCGUGUGUGAAGAAGGCCUUCGGGUUGUAAAGCACUUUCAGCGAGGAGGAAGGGUA
rnacentral:rRNA from 1 species